rnacentral:lncRNA from 10 species
UUCUAGGCUCAAUCCCCAUUGAACUUUAUCCUCUUCAUUGGACAUGUUGUGAUUUCAGUCUCCUUGGGAACUUUCAUGUCUGGCUUCUCUUCCUGGACCCCUUUCCUACUCUUCUUCCUUUUUCAUCCUUAACCUGACUGUGGAAGAUUAUUGCAAUAAUGGCACACCUAUUCGCCGAGGCAUCACCUGGAUCCUACAGAGUCAGCCUUGGCCAUCAGUGAUGGUGAAAGCAACAGAUGUCAGAUGUCAGCCCCUGGCUUCCUGCCUUACCGUAGAGGGAUACUCGACAGACAGACUGGACAGAUCACUCAUGCUGGGGAAAGCCAGGUGUCAUGUCUUGGGGAAUCCAGGUGUUAUGUCUUAAGGACAGGCUGGCAGACCUGUGCAUACGCCCAUGUAGCGAGAAACUAGACCCUCAGCUCAAGACACUGAAAGAAACCUCAUGAAACAACUUGAAGCUCUGACCCUGAACCACCUAGCUAAACUGCUCUUAGAUACCUGAUUCUCAGAUACUAUUGAGAAAAUAAACAAUAAUUAUUUUAUGUUGCUACAUUUUGGGAGUAAUUUGUUACAUGAUAAUAGCUACACGUUGAAGAGCAAAUUAUUCACGCUCUGUUUUUCAGUUUCCUCAUCUGCACAAUGGAGUACCGAUUUUAUGAUGUGGUUGUGAGGAUUUAAGAGAUCAUCCACAGAGAAGUGCAACAGAGUACAGGGUCAGAAGUCAGCACCCC